AUACGUAGGGUGCGAGCGUUGUCCGGAAUUACUGGGCGUAAAGAGCUCGUAGGUGGUUUGUCGCGUCGUCUGUGAAAUUCCGGGGCUUAACUUCGGGCGUGCAGGCGAUACGGGCAUAACUUGUGUACUGUAGGGGAGACUGGAAUUCCUGGUGUAGCGGUGAAAUGCGCAGAUAUCAGGAGGAACACCGGUGGCGAAGGCGGGUCUCUGGGCAGUAACUGACGCUGAGGAGCGAAAGCAUGGGUAGCGAACAGGAUUAGAUACCCUGGUAGUCCAUGCCGUAAACGGUGGGCGCUAGGUGUAGGGGUCUUCCACGACUUCUGUGCCGUAGCUAACGCAUUAAGCGCCCCGCCUGGGGAGUACGGCCGCAAGGCUAAAACUCAAAGGAAUUGACGGGG
rnacentral:rRNA from 1 species